AAAUGAAUAGACGGGGGAGCGCACAACCGGUGGAGCAUGUGGUUUAAUUCGAUACAAAGCGAAAAACCUUACCCGGAUUUGACAUGUACCUGCACGGUCUAGGAAACUAGACUUUCUUCGAGAGUGGUACACAGGUGAUGCAUGGCUGUCGUCAGCUCGUGUCGUGAGACGUCCGCUUAAGUGCGGUAACGAGCGCAACCCUUGUCCUGUGUUAUACGUGUCACAGGAGACUGCCCCUGCUCUGCAGGGGAGGAAGGAGAGGACGACGUCAAGUCAGCAUGUCCCUUACAUCCGGGGCUACACACAUCCUACAAUGGAGUCGACAGCGGGUAGCGACGGGGUAACCCUGAGCCAAUCCUCUAAACGACUUCUCAGUUCGGAUUGAGGGCUGCAAUUCGCCCUCAUGAAGCCGGAAUCGGUAGUAAUCGCAAAUCAGCAGGUUGCGGUGAAUACGUUCUCGCUCCUUGUACACACCGCCCGU
rnacentral:rRNA from 1 species